UACGAACUGUGCGAACGUUAUUCGGAAUCACUGGGCUUACAGGGUGCGUAGGCGGUCUGUUAAGUAGGGUGUGAAAGCCCCCGGCUCAACCGGGGAAUGGCGCCCUAAACUGGCGGACUGGAGUGGGAUAGGGGUGUGCGGAACUUCCGGUGGAGCGGUGAAAUGUGUUGAUGUCGGAAGGAACGCCGGUGGCGAAAGCGGCACACUGGAUCUCAACUGACGCUGAGGCACGAAAGCCAGGGGAGCGAACGGG
rnacentral:rRNA from 1 species